rnacentral:sRNA from 1 species
UGGCCACCAAGAAGCAGAGAGAUUUGUGUGUUGCUGUUGUUGUUGUCGUUUUUUGUUGAAUGUUAUAUUUUUGACAAAUUGUAUAUGUAUGUGUGUGUGUGUGUUUGUGUGCGUGUAUUUGUACGCAUUUAAGGUUCUGCAGAGCGUUAAAUAUUUUUAGCCCAAAGUCAGACGAAGAUGCGGCACAAAAGGUAGAACAAAGGAGGCAACAGCAAAAGCAGCAUCAUGUUGCCAA